ACAAGAAGUUUAUUGUUUGUGGAUAUUGAUUUCUAACUUAAAAGUUCAAGUUUUAUGAGAGGAGCAAACUUCGGUAAAGUCUCUGGUAGUGGUCAACACAUUGUGUUUGUGUAUAGGAGCAAAUGUGGAUGGCCAUAAUCUAUGAAGAAGUUUGCAGGUGGCCUUCUGCCAGCAGUGGACAGCAAAU